UACGUAGGGUGCGAGCGUUGUCCGGAAUUAUUGGGCGUAAAGGGCGCGUAGGCGGCUCUGCACGUUCGUUGUGAAAUCGCCCGGCUCAACUGGGCGGGGUCAGCGGAUACGGCAGAGCUUGAGCAAGCUAGGGGGCAGUGGAAUUCCAGGUGUAGCGGUGAAAUGCGUAGAUAUCUGGAGGAACACCGGUGGCGAAGGCGGCAUCCUGGACCGGCAUUGACGCUGAGGAGCGAAAGCCAGGGGAGCAAACGGG
rnacentral:rRNA from 1 species